GAGGAAGAGGCCUUGGUAGAAGAAGAGAAGGAGGAGGUAGAGGAAGAGGAGAAGGAGAUAGAGGAAGAGAAGGAGAUAGAGGAAGAGAAGGAGAUAGAGGAAGAGGCCUUGGUAGAAGAAGAGAAGGAGGAGGUAGAGGAAGAGGAGAAGGAGAUAGAGGAAGAGAAGGAGAUAGAGGAAGAGGCCUUGGUAGAAGAAGAGAAGGAGGAGGUAGAGGAAGAGGAGAAGGA